UACGAAGGGGGCUAGCGUUGUUCGGAAUUACUGGGCGUAAAGCGUGCGCAGGCGGCUUCUCAAGUCAGGGGUGAAAGCCCAGAGCUUGACUCUGGAAUUGCCUUUGAGACUGAGAGGCUUGAGUACGGGAGAGGUGAGUGGAAUUCCCAGUGUAGAGGUGAAAUUCGUAGAUAUUGGGAAGAACACCGGUGGCGAAGGCGGCUCACUGGCCCGUAACUGACGCUCAUGCACGACAGCGUGGGGAUCAAACAGG
rnacentral:rRNA from 1 species